GCCCAUUCCUUGCUGGAUGACAUUUUCCAGAUUGGAACAAAAAACGCAACUGCAGAACUUCUGGGACAGCUUAACCUCUUUGUCUCCAAGUUGACAGGAACAUCCACUGGAUUCACGGCCAUUAACUUCUUUGUCAUCACAAACGAGUUCCUUCUGACUUUGGGUGGACUGUUCAUCACCUACUUCUUCCUCCUGCUGCAAUUCAAGAUAUAGACUGACACUGGGUUGUCCUCAUGUGGAUAGAUUCAUACACACCAAGUGUCCUGUCCCAAAAAUGGAGACUUACUCUAUGCCACAGUAACGACAAUUGCAGCUGUAAGAUCACCAAGAUCAGUGAAAACUACCACAGCUGGCAAGGCCCACUUACAGUUUCACUCUGAUGAAAAGAUAAAAUCUCCUCUGGAAAUAAAAAAUGACAUCAGUUCUCAACCUUUGGCAUUGUA